rnacentral:rRNA from 1 species
UACGUAGGGUGCAAGCGUUGUCCGGAGUUACUGGGCGUAAAGGGUGCGUAGGUGGUUUAAUAAGUCAGUGGUGAAAGCUGGUUGCUCAACAAUCAAGUUGCCAUUGAUACUGUUAGACUUGAGAGAAGUGGAGGCUGGUGGAAUGGAUGGUGUAGCGGUGAAAUGCAUAGAUAUCAUCCAGAACGUCAAUUGCGAAGGCAGCUGGCUGUACUUUUUCUGACACUGAGGCACGAAAGUGUGGGGAUCAAACAGG